AUUGAACGCUGGCGGCAUGCUUUACACAUGCAAGUCGAACGGCAGCGCGGGCUUCGGCCUGGCGGCGAGUGGCGAACGGGUGAGUAAUACAUCGGAACGUGCCCAGUGGGGGAUAACACCGCGACAACCGGCUUAUUACUGCAUCCGACCUGAGGGUGAAAGAGGCGGGUCUUCUGAUCACCCCCUAUUUGAGCAGCCGAUGACAGAUUAGCUAGUUGGUGGGGUAAAGGCCUACCAAGGCGACGAUCUGUAGCUGGUCUGAGAGGACGACCAGCCACACUGGGACUGAGACACGGCCCAGACUCCUACGGGAGGCAGCAGUGGGGAAUUUUGGACAAUGGGCGAAAGCCUGAUCCAGCAAUGCCGCGUGUGUGAUGAAGGCCUUCGGGUUGUAAAGCACUUUUGGCGGGAACGAAAAGGACUGUGCCAAUACCACGGUUCGAUGACGUUACCCGCAGAAUAAGCACCGGCUAACUCCGUG
rnacentral:rRNA from 1 species